UUAGAGUUUGAUCCUGGCUCAGGAUGAACGCUAGCGACAGGCUUAACACAUGCAAGUCGAGGGGCAGCAUAAGAGUAGCAAUACUCUUGAUGGCGACCGGCGCACGGGUGCGUAACACGUAUGCAACCUACCUCCUACCCGGGGAUAACCCGGAGAAAUCCGGACUAAUACCUGAUGUGGUAUGGAUAAGAUAACUUUUCCAUAUUAAAGAUUCAUCGGUAGGGGAUGGGCAUGCGGAUGAUUAGCUGGUUGGUGAGGCAACGGCUCACCAAGGCGACGAUCAUUAGGGGUUCUGAGAGGAAGGUCCCCCACAUUGGUACUGAGACACGGACCAAACUCCUACGGGAGGCAGCAGUGAGGAAUAUUGGUCAAUGGGCGAGAGCCUGAACCAGCCAAGUCGCGUGAGGGAAGACGGCCCUAUGGGUUGUAAACCUCUUUUGUACGGGAAUAAAGUGGGUCACGUGUGGCCUUUUGUAUGUACCGUACGAAUAAGGAUCGGCUAACUCCGUGCCAGCAGCCGCGGUAAUACGGAGGAUCCGAGUGUUAUCCGGAUUUAUUGGGUUUAAAGGGUGCGCAGGCGGAGUAUCAAGUCAGUGGUGAAAUGGUGUGGCUCAACCAUAGCACUGCCGUUGAAACUGGUACCCUUGAGUGCGAGCGAGGCAGGCGGAAUGUGUCAUGUAGCGGUGAAAUGCAUAGAUAUGACACAGAACACCGAUUGCGAAGGCAGCCUGCCAGUACGCAACUGACGCUGAGGCACGAAAGUGUGGGGAUCGAACAGGAUUAGAUACCCUGGUAGUCCACACAGUAAACGAUGAAUGCUAGCUGUUGGCGAUAGACAGUCAGUGGCCAAGCGAAAGCGAUAAGCAUUCCACCUGGGGAGUACGUUCGCAAGAAUGAAACUCAAAGGAAUUGACGGGGGCCCGCACAAGCGGAGGAACAUGUGGUUUAAUUCGAUGAUACGCGAGGAACCUUACCCGGGCUUGAAAUCAGGAAGACGCAGGGAGAGACCCCUGUUCCAGCAAUGGCUUCCUGGUAGGUGCUGCAUGGUUGUCGUCAGCUCGUGCCGUGAGGUGUCGGCUUAAGUGCCAUAACGAGCGCAACCCUUGCCGUCAGUUGCCAUCAUUCGGUUGGGCACUCUGGCGGGACUGCCACCGCAAGGUGUGAGGAAGGUGGGGAUGACGUCAAAUCAGCACGGCCCUUACGUCCGGGGCGACACACGUGUUACAAUGGGUGGGACAGAGAGCAGCCAGGCGGCGACGCCGAGCGAAUCCCGAAACCCACUCUCAGUUCGGAUCGGAGUCUGCAACCCGACUCCGUGAAGCUGGAUUCGCUAGUAAUCGCGCAUCAGCCAUGGCGCGGUGAAAAAGUUCCCGGGCCUUGCACACACCGCCCGUCAAG
rnacentral:rRNA from 1 species